rnacentral:rRNA from 1 species
GACGAACGCUGGCGGCGUGCUUAACACAUGCAAGUCGAACGGAAAGGCCCUGCUUUUGUGGGGUGCUCGAGUGGCGAACGGGUGAGUAACACGUGAGUAACCUGCCCUUGACUUUGGGAUAACUUCAGGAAACUGGGGCUAAUACCGGAUAGGAGCUCCUGCUGCAUGGUGGGGGUUGGAAAGUUUCGGCGGUUGGGGAUGGACUCGCGGCUUAUCAGCUUGUUGGUGGGGUAGUGGCUUACCAAGGCUUUGACGGGUAGCCGGCCUGAGAGGGUGACCGGCCACAUUGGGACGGGGAUGCGGCACAGACUACUACGGGAGGCAGCGGUGGGGAAUAUUGCACAAUGGGAGGAAGCCUGAUGCAGCAACGCCGCGUGCGGGAUGACGGCCUUCGGGUUGUAAACCGCUUUCGCCUGUGACGAAGCGUGAGUGACGGUAAUGGGUAAAGAAGCACCGGCUAACUACGUG